CCUACGGGAGGCAGCAGUGGGGAAUAUUGCGCAAUGGGCGAAAGCCUGACGCAGCAACGCCGCGUGGGGGAUGAAGGCCUUCGGGUUGUAAACCCCUUUCAGCAGGGAAGAAGCGAAAGUGACGGUACCUGCAGAAGAAGCACCGGCUAACUACGUGCCAGCAGCCGCGGUAAUACGUAGGGUGCAAGCGUUGUCCGGAUUUAUUGGGCGUAAAGAGCUCGUAGGCGGUUAGUCACGUCGGAUGUGAAAUCCCGGAGCUUAACUCCGGGCCUGCAUUCGAUACGGGCUGACUCGAGUGUUGUAGGGGAGACUGGAACUCCUGGUGUAGCGGUGAAAUGCGCAGAUAUCAGGAAGAACACCGGUGGCGAAGGCGGGUCUCUGGGCAACUACUGACGCUGAGGAGCGAAAGCGUGGGGAGCAAACAGGAUUAGAUACCCUGGUAGUCCACGCCGUAAACGGUGGGACGCUAGGUGUGGGGAACAUUCCACGUUCUCUGCGCCGCAGCUAACGCAUUAAGCGCCCCGCCUGGGGAGUACGGCCGCAAGGCUAAAACUCAAAGGAAUUGACGG
rnacentral:rRNA from 1 species